rnacentral:rRNA from 1 species
CUACGGGGUGCACCAGUAGGGAAUAUUGGACAAUGGGCGAAAGCCUGAUCCAGCAACACCGCGUGCACGAUGACGGCCUUCGGGUUGUAAAGUGCUUUUAGAGGAGAUGAGAAAGGACAGUAUCCUCUGAAUAAGCCUCGGCGAACUACGUGCCAGCAGCCGCGGUAAAACGUAGGAGGCAAGCGUUAUCCGGAUUCAUUGGGCGUAAAGCGCGUGCAGGCGGUCUAACAAGUUGGAUGUGAAAGCUCCCGGCUCAACUGGGAGAGGUCGUUCAAUACUGUUAGACUAGAGAAUAGGAGAGGGAGGUGGAAUUCCGGGUGUAGUGGUGAAAUGCGUAGAUAUCCGGAGGAACACCAGUGGCGAAAGCGGCCUCCUGGACUAUUUCUGACGCUAAGACGCGAAAGCUAGGGUAGCAAACGGGAUUAGAUACCCCAGUAGUC